AAGAUCUCGUGGGGAAGCAAACAGGGGAAGGGAAAGUCGUGCUAGGUCUCAUCGGACGUGAUGACAAAACAAAAGUAUCUAGGUGUCAUGGGCUUUAGAGACAUAGAGACAUUCAAUCUAGCACUACUCACACAUCCGACAUGGAGGCUACUUGAUGACCCAAAUUCUCUUAGUGCAAGGAUACUAAAAGCUAUUUAUUUUCCACAUCAAUCUUCCCUGGAAGCGGAUCUUGGCAACCAACCAACCCAAAUCUGGCGAGCCAUGAUCGAUGAUAGAGAUAUAUUGAAGUAGGGAAUCAUCGGGCGUAUUGGGAACGGUCAUACUACAAACAUUUGGGAGACCAACUAG
rnacentral:rRNA from 1 species